rnacentral:snRNA from 1 species
GUGCUUGCUUCGGCAGCACAUAUACUAAAAUUGGAAUGAUACAGAGAAGAUUAGCAUGGCCCCUGUGCAAGGAUGACAUGCAAAUUCAUGAAGUGUUCCAUAUUUUU